rnacentral:rRNA from 1 species
CCUACGGGGGGCUGCAGUGGGGAAUAUUGGACAAUGGGCGAAAGCCUGAUCCAGCCAUGCCGCGUGUGUGAAGAAGGCCUUCGGGGUGUAAAGCACUUUCAGUGGGGAAGAAAGCCUUGGGGCUAAUACCCUCGAGGAAGGACAUCACCCACAGAAGAAGCACCGGCUAACUCCGUGCCAGCAGCCGCGGUAAUACGGAGGGUGCGAGCGUUAAUCGGAAUUACUGGGCGUAAAGCGCGCGUAGGCGGUCUGAUAAGCCGGUUGUGAAAGCCCCGGGCUCAACCUGGGAACGGCAUCCGGAACUGUCAGGCUAGAGUGCAGGAGAGGAAGGUAGAAUUCCCGGUGUAGCGGUGAAAUGCGUAGAGAUCGGGAGGAAUACCAGUGGCGAAGGCGGUCUUCUGGACUGACACUGACGCUGAGGUGCGAAAGCGUGGGUAGCAAACAGGAUUAGAUACCCUGGUAGUC